rnacentral:rRNA from 1 species
GACGAACGCUGGCGGCGUGCUUAACACAUGCAAGUCGAACGGAAAGGCCCUGCUUUUGUGGGGUGCUCGAGUGGCGAACGGGUGAGUAACAAGUGAGUAACCUGCGCUUGACUUUGGGAUAACUUCAGGAAACUGGGGCUAAUACCGGAUAGGAGCGCCUGCUGCAUGGUGGGGGUUGGAAAGUUUCGGCGGUUGGGGAUGGACGCGCGGGUUAUCAGCUUGUGGGUGGGGUAGUGGCUUACCAAGGGUUUGGCGGGUGGCCGGCCUGGGGGGGUGACCGGCCACAUUGGGACUGAGAUACGGCCCAGACUCCUACGGGAGGCAGCAGUGGGGAAUAUUGCACAAUGGGCGCACGCCUGAUGCAGCAACGCCGCGUGCGGGAUGACGGCCUUCGGGUUGUAAACCGCAUUCGCCUAUGACGAAGCGUGAGUGACGGUAAUGGGUAAAGAAGCACCGGCUAACUACGUG